GCUUUUACAAGGCAUAUACUAGCAUCAGAACGAUACAAAAAAGAUUCUCAUGGCUCCUGUACAAGUACGACAUGCAUACUUAUAAAACAUUUUAUAUUUUU
ensembl:snRNA U6 U6 spliceosomal RNA